GUAAAGGGAGCGUAGGCGGAUUUUUAAGUGAGAUGUGAAAUACUCGGGCUUAACCUGAGUGCUGCAUUUCAAACUGGAAGUCUAGAGUGCAGGAGAGGAGAAGGGAAUUCCUAGUGUAGCGGUGAAAUGCGUAGAGAUUAGGAAGAACACCAGUGGCGAAGGCGCUUCUCUGGACUGUAACUGACGCUGAGGCUCGAAAGCGUGGGGAGCAAACAGGAUUAGAUACCCUGGUAGUCCACGCCGUAAACGAUGAUACUAGGUGUUAGAGGCUCUCUCAUGACCUCUUGUGCCGCCCGAUAACGCACUAAGUACAUCUCGCCUGUGGAGAACGCUCGCAAGAUUAAGACUCUAAGGGAUUGACGCGGGCCCGCACACGACACCGGAGACACAUGGUGUAAUUCGAAGCGACAGCGAAGAACACUACAUAGAGACGACAUAUCCUUCAGUACUGACAAUCGAGGAAGUCCUUUCGGGGACCAAGAUGACAGGUGGUGCAUGGUUGUCGUCAGCUCGUGUCGUGAGAUGUUGGGUUAAGUCCCGCAACGAGCGCAACCCUUAUCGUUAGUUGCCAUCAUUAAGUUGGGCACUCUAGCGAGACUGCCCGGGUUAACUGGGAGGAAGGUGGGGAUGACGUCAAAUCAUCAUGCCCCUUAUGUUUAGGG
rnacentral:rRNA from 1 species